rnacentral:rRNA from 1 species
AUAUUUAAAAUGUGCCCUGCCCAGUGAAUUUUUAACGGCCGCAGUACUCUGACUGUGCUAAGGUAGCAUAAUAAAUUGUCUUUUAAUUGAAGACUAGAAUGAAUGGGUUUUUGGUAAAUUACUGUCUUUUUAAAAAUAAUUUAAAUUUAUUUAAAAGGUGAAAACCCCUUUAAAAUUAAUUAUUAGACGAGAAGACCCUUAGAGUUUAUAAUUUUUUUGUUGGGGCGACAAUGAAGCAUAAAACCUUCAUAUUAUUUAUUUAAUAAAAAAUUUAUUUUUUAAUUAAAAAAACUACCUAAGGGAUAACAGCAUAAUUUUUUAAAGAUUGUGACCUCGAUGUUGGAUUAAGGACUUUAAAACUAACCGUUUAAUAAGCUAGUUCUGUUCGAACU